rnacentral:rRNA from 1 species
GAUGAACGCUGGCGGCGUGCCUAACACAUGCAAGUCGAGCGUGAUUUAUGAGGACGAAACUUCGGUCUAGGAAUCAUAAUGAAAGCGGCGGACGGGUGAGUAACGCGUAGGCAACCUGCCCUUAACACAGGGAUAGCCUCGGGAAACCGGGAUUAAAACCUGAUGAUGCCAAAGAGUCACCUGGCUCGUUGGCCAAAGAUUUAUCGGUUAAGGAUGGGCCUGCGUCUGAUUAGUUUGUUGGUGGGGUAAGGGCUUACCAAGACUACGAUCAGUAGCCGACCUGAGAGGGUGAUCGGCCACAUUGGAACUGAGACACGGUCCAAACUCCUACGGGAGGCAGCAGUGGGGAAUAUUGCACAAUGGGCGAAAGCCUGAUGCAGCAACGCCGCGUGAGCGAUGAAGGCCUUUGGGUCGUAAAGCUCUGUCCUUGGGGAAGAAACAAAUGACGGUACCCAAGGAGGAAGCCCCGGCUAACUACGUGCCAGCAGCCGCAGUAACAC